rnacentral:lncRNA from 1 species
UGUGGUACUAUUAAUAUGGUAGUGGGUGUUUGCUGAGGAUUAUGUAGAAUCUGACAUUAUCUCUGUCUCAUUCUCACCCCCCCUAUGAAAAUUGAGCCACGUACCUUUGGUUUUUGGCGACUCUAACCCCCUUCCUGGGAAAAGUCGACUUCAAGAGUUUAUCUCCCUCCUGGGAAAAAGUUGAUUUCAAAAAUGUCUAUCCUCUUCUUGGGAAAAAUUGACUUCAAAAUGUCUAACCCAAUUCCUUGGAAAAAGUCGACUUCAAAAAGUCUGUCCCAAUUCUUGGGAAAAAGUCGACUUGAAAAUG